rnacentral:rRNA from 1 species
GCGGCGUGCUAUACAUGCAAGUCGAGCGGACAGAUGGGAGCUUGCUCCCUGAUGUUAGCGGCGGACGGGUGAGUAACACGUGGGUAACCUGCCUGUAAGACUGGGAUAACUCCGGGAAACCGGGGCUAAUACCGGAUGGUUGUUUGAACCGCAUGGUUCAGACAUAAAAGGUGGCUUCGGCUACCACUUACAGAUGGACCCGCGGCGCAUUAGCUAGUUGGUGAGGUAACGGCUCACCAAGGCGACGAUGCGUAGCCGACCUGAGAGGGUGAUCGGCCACACUGGGACUGAGACACGGCCCAGACUCCUACGGGAGGCAGCAGUAGGGAAUCUUCCGCAAUGGACGAAAGUCUGACGGAGCAACGCCGCGUGAGUGAUGAAGGUUUUCGGAUCGUAAAGCUCUGUUGUUAGGGAAGAACAAGUGCCGUUCAAAUAGGGCGGCACCUUGACGGUACCUAACCAGAAAGCCACGGCUAACUACGUGCCAGCAGCCGCGGUAAUACGUAGGUGGCAAGCGUUGUCCGGAAUUAUUGGGCGUAAAGGGCUCGCAGGCGGUCUUAAGUCUGAUGUGAAAGCCCCCGGCUCAACCGGGGAGGGUCAUUGGAAACUGGGGAACUUGAGUGCAGAAGAGGAGAGUGGAAUUCCACGUGUAGCGGUGAAAUGCGUAGAGAUGUGGAGGAACACCAGUGGCGAAGGCGACUCUCUGGUCUGUAACUGACGCUGAGGAGCGAAAGCGUGGGGAGCGAACAGGAUUAGAUACCCUGGUAGUCCACGCCGUAAACGAUGAGUGCUAAGUGUUAGGGGGUUUCCGCCCCUUAGUGCUGCAGCUAACGCAUUAAGCACUCCGCCUGGGGAGUACGGUCGCAAGACUGAAACUCAAAGGAAUUGACGGGGGCCCGCACAAGCGGUGUAGCAUGUGGUUUAAUUCGAAGCAACGCGAAGAACCUUACCAGGUCUUGACAUCCUCUGACAAUCCUAGAGAUAGGACGUCCCCUUCGGGGGCAGAGUGACAGGUGGUGCAUGGUUGUCGUCAGCUCGUGUCGUGAGAUGUUGGGUUAAGUCCCGCAACGAGCGCAACCCUUGAUCUUAGUUGCCAGCAUUCAGUUGGGCACUCUAAGGUGACUGCCGGUGACAAACCGGAGGAAGGUGGGGAUGACGUCAAAUCAUCAUGCCCCUUAUGACCUGGGCUACACACGUGCUACAAUGGACAGAACAAAGGGCAGCGAAACCGCGAGGUUAAGCCAAUCCCACAAAUCUGUUCUCAGUUCGGAUCGCAGUCUGCAACUCGACUGCGUGAAGCUGGAAUCGCUAGUAAUCGCGGAUCAGCAUGCCGCGGUGAAUACGUUCCCGGGCCUUGUACACACCGCCCGUCACACCACGAGAGUUUGUAACACCCGAAGUCGGUGAGGUAACCUUUUAGGAGCCAGCCGCCGAAGUGACAGAUAGGG